ACGUGGAGCGAUUACGUGAUACAUUCUAGAGGUAUUAACAUGUAAAAUAGCAUUUACUGCCAGUAGUUUUGGAUUAAUUGUAAAUUAUUGUACAACAACAGCUGAUGGAAUGAGUUAUACUUGUAAAUAAUUUUACUUCUUUUUCCAACGUAAUGACAACGUGUUUUCACAUUGGACCAGAGCCAAAAACAUUCGUAUAAAACCGCGGCUGUGGUUCUUAUACUUGAACAAUUGAGCUGUUUGGUUUAUACAUGAAAGGGUUUCUACUGAGUAUAUAAAAGAGUAUUACCAUGGCCCGAUGGCGACUUGUGACGGUCAUGUGCCUACUGUGCAUUUUAGUUGGCUCGAUUCAGAGCCAGGGGGUACUGGAUCCUUGCGUGGAAUGCUUUAUCAUCAAUGGACAAACAUUCUGUACACGUGUGGCCUGUCUAACUGUGUGCUUAGGAUUCGCACCAACAAGUAGCUGCUGUCCUAACUGCAGCCCAGAUCCUGAAGAAAUGAGAAAAAAAUAGCAUACAGAUAAUUGAUUUUGAUUCAGUAAACAAAGAUGCUCUAUAUGCAGAACGUUGUUAAAAUACUUCAAUUGUAUUAUGCGUUUCAAUAAUGCAAAUGUUUACUACAAAUGUUUCUUCAAACAUUUAAAAUCAAUGGGAAUCUGGUUGCAGACGUUCUUUUUGAAUGUGUUCGUUUAAUUUUUAUAAGUCCAUUGAAGUUUACUAACAAAAUAAAGCCAUGAUUGUAUUGUCAACAGGUUUUGGUAUUGUUUGGUCGGCCUUUAGUUUUUAUAAUUAAUCUUAA